rnacentral:rRNA from 1 species
UACGUAGGGUGCGAGCGUUGUCCGGAAUUAUUGGGCGUAAAGAGCUUGUGGGCGGUCUGUCGCGUCUGCUGUGAAAAUCCGGGGCUCAACCCCGGACUUGCAGUGGGUACGGGCAGACUAGAGUGCGGUAGGGGAGAUUGGAAUUCCUGGUGUAGCGGUGGAAUGCGCAGAUAUCAGGAGGAACACCAAUGGCGAAGGCAGAUCUCUGGGCCGUAACUGACGCUGAGGAGCGAAAGCAUGGGGAGCGAACAGG